CGCGGUUCGUAGAAUUGAAAAUAAUAUCGUCAUACGAUUUCAUCGUAAGGAUUGAAUUAGUGAUUGAAAAAUAAUCAAAAGCAACGAAACUACAAAUGCUGAAAACACUAUCAAUAUACGUUAAAAAACAGUUUUAUACUAUUAAGCUCAAAUUUUUAUUUCUAUACAGUUUAAAUGCAGAUAAUAAUGUAUAUUGGUAGUGUGUGUAACAAAAUUGAUAAUACAGGAAAUAUUACAAAUAUUGAUAAUUAAAAAAUGAAUAUAUAUUUAACGAUGUGGAUUAACUAGCCUCAGUGUUUUUAUCAUGGCAUUAGGUGAUUAUACAUUAUACAUUAUUGUACAGCUGAGUAACAAAUCCAGGAGGCAACGGUCGACAAUCUUUCUUCAGCAGGCGGAAGGAAUUCCCAUAAGUUGCUAUUUAAACCGGUUCUAGCAACAAAACCAUGCUACAGAAUAGAUUUACGAUGAGGGAUACAAGCGUCAAAACUGAUAAAUGUUGCCUAUAAUAUUUUUUGUUUUGUUUUAAUUUUUAUUUAUUUUCCAGUUCGUAUAAAUGUAAGUAAAUACAUUUUUACAAAUUUACAAACAUAUUUCAGAUUUCUAUGCAUUUUAAUAGUAGCAAUAAACAAUGGUUACAUCAGAAAAAAUAUUUGAUAGAGAAUGAGUAAAGUUAAACUGAUUUAAUAUUAUGCAAAUAAAGAUUGUUUAAGUGGAAAGGUAAUCUAAAGAGCAUGAUAUAUGUUUUGGAUGGAUUUAUAUAAUGAUAUGCUUUCAUAUAUGAAAAAAGAAGCGAUUAAAUAGAAUGGGAAAAUAAUACUAAAUAGACUGAUGUCAGUAUACGUGUGUUUCUUGACAUGAAUAUGCUCCUCUUGCUGUUAUGUACAUCGAGAUUAUUUCAUUUCAGCAAUGAGUCUUUCUAAACUAAGUUUGUAUUGAAGGUAACUUAAAAUUUCAUCGAAAUUUGUGACCGCUGUCUUGUUUUAUUUUUAAAGAAGAAAUGUUUUUUAAGAGAAAGAUUUAAUUAAUGCAGUUUGAUUUAAUAAUAUUUUGUACAGACUAAGAGUUUCGUAUGAUACCAAGGUUUCGUUUUUUCUCUAGUUUUAUUGGUCAUAAUUAAAAGGAAUUUUUAGUGUGUAGUUUUUGUAUGUUAUAGGAUGACAUUAAAAGAUGUUUUUGUGCAUUUUCUAGGAACUCAUUUGAUGGCGGAGGGGUUAAAAAAGUACUACCCACCAGUAGUCAGGAAUUUUCAAAGUGGUGAAUUUAAACAGUGUUACAACAGAAUGAAGAUUUCUGAAAAAAGUAGAUGGCUUACGUGUUAUAUUUCGAGUCUCAUUUGACUUAGAUUUGACUUAGAUAGUGUUGAUGUUUUAAGUUGAAGACAGAAUAUAAUUCAUCAAGAACAGUGGAAUUCAGAAUUACGAAUCAAUCGUGACUAAUAUACUAUAGAACAAAAAAUACAACAAUUACCAGGCCAACACGCAUUAGAAUAUUUUGCUUGUAAAAAUAUCUGAUUAAAAUUAAAAUGUUUGAACUUCACAUCAUUCCCAAAAUAAAUUAACAUUAGAUUUUGAUGUUGUGUUGCAAAACUCCCAUAACCUUGACUCAAUCAUGUAAUAUUUAAAGAGUUUUAUGUAAUUUCAUUAUUUGGCAAAAUGUUUUAUCAAUAAGGUAGUUAUUUACUUUGUAUAUAUUGAAUCCCUUCAGAUUAAAGUUUUAUUUUCCAUA